GGAAGCGUGGCCGAGUGGUUUAUGGCACUGCACUGCUAACGCAGAACUCGUGAAAACGAGUCGAAGGUUCAAAUCCUUCCGCUUCCGCCA
rnacentral:tRNA from 1 species